rnacentral:rRNA from 1 species
UAGUUGGUGGGGUAACGGCCUACCAAGCCUGUGAUCCGUAGCUGGUCUGAGAGGAUGAUCAGCCACACUGGGACUGAGACACGGCCCAGACUCCUACGGGAGGCAGCAGUGGGGAAUAUUGGACAAUGGGCGCAAGCCUGAUCCAGCAAUGCCGCGUGUGUGAAGAAGGCCUGCGGGUUGUAAAGCACUUUCAGUGGGGAGGAAGGCCUCGAUGUUAAUAGUAUCGAGGAUUGACGUUACCUACAGAAGAAGCACCGGCUAACUCUGUGCCAGCAGCCGCGGUAAUACAGAGGGUGCGAGCGUUAAUCGGAAUUACUGGGCGUAAAGGGCGCGUAGGUGGUUAAUUAAGUCAGAUGUGAAAUCCCUGGGCUUAACCUAGGAAUUGCAUAUGAAACUGAUUGACUAGAGUAUGGGAGAGGGAAGUGGAAUUUCCGGUGUAGCGGUGAAAUGCGUAGAUAUCGGAAGGAACACCAGUGGCGAAGGCGACUUCCUGGCCCAUUACUGACACUGAGGCGCGAAAGCGUGGGGAGCGAACAGGAUUAGAUACCCUGGUAGUCCACGCCGUAAACGAUGAGAACUAGAUGUUAGGGGGCUUAGACCUCUUAGUAUCGCAGCAAACGCGUUAAGUUCUCCGCCUGGGGAGUACGGCCGCAAGGUUAAAACUCAAAGGAAUUGACG